rnacentral:lncRNA from 1 species
GUUUGGUAUCUCGACGGCAUGGAUGAGCUCCACACAAACGAAGACCAAGACACCACAUUUCCUUUGGGUCUGAAGAGAUCCCAAGCAGACGCCGUUGAGAAUUUCCCCGAUGGAUGCCGUAACCAUUGGAAACGGUCUUCUUGUUGAUUAAACUCAGGUAGGGGAUCCCACCAAUUAGCCCUAACAUUAAUAACAUACCAACCAAGAGGCGUGGACAAAGCAUCAGCAACAGAGGCAUCUCGGGGGAUGCCGGAACGAUAUA